CCCUUAGAUGUUCUGGGCGGCCCGCGCACUACAAUGGCGUGUGCAGCGAGUGCCGAAGUAGAGUUUUCCGAGGUAUUCUUGCAAUGCUCGUUUUGAUGGGGAUAGACCCUUGCAACUGUUGGUUUUGAACGAGGAAUUCCUUGUAAGCAUGGUUUAUCAUCCGACGCUGAAUGCGUCCCUGCCCUUUGUACACACCGCCCGUCGCUCCUACCGAUGAGUCGUCCGGUGAAGUUCAUAGACCUCGUGAUCGCGGAUCACUGGGGGAAGCAAAAUGAACCUCGCGGUUUAGAGGAAGGAGAAGUCGUAACA
rnacentral:rRNA from 1 species